rnacentral:tRNA from 1 species
AAGGUAUUAGUAAAGAAAUUACGCAACUUUGUCAAAGUUAACUCACAGGUUGAACCCCUGUAUAUCUUA